rnacentral:rRNA from 1 species
AUUGAACGCUGGCGGCAUGCUUUACACAUGCAAGUCGGACGGCAGCGGGGUAGUGCUUGCACUACUGCCGGCGAGUGGCGAACGGGUGAGUAACAUAUCGGAACGUACCGAGCAGUGGGGGAUAACUAAUCGAAAGAUUAGCUAAUACCGCAUAUAUUCUGAGGAAGAAAGCAGGGGACCUUUGGGCCUUGCGCUGUUUGAGCGGCCGAUAUCUGAUUAGCUGGUUGGUGGGGUAAAGGCCUACCAAGGCGACGAUCAGUAGCGGGUCUGAGAGGAUGAUCCGCCACACUGGGACUGAGACACGGCCCAGACUCCUACGGGAGGCAGCAGUGGGGAAUUUUGGACAAUGGGGGCAACCCUGAUCCAGCCAUGCCGCGUGUCUGAAGAAGGCCUUCGGGUUGUAAAGGACUUUUGUCCGGGAAGAAAAGCGCGAUGUUAAUACCAUUGCG